UGCAACCCUAACACGAACUCCGCAGUCUCUUCCCCUUCCUUUUUCUCUUCUCCUUGGCUCCUAAUCGAGGUCCCUCCGCACUCUUACUCUGGGGCCUUUGCUCGACCUCGCUCCCUCAGUCUCUCUGCUCCGCCGCCACGGUGGUUGAUUUCGACCACCAUAAGCCUUAUCUUCUGAAUUUGCCCAAUCCAAGUUGCGACCAUCAAAGCUAUUUCCACCCACACCGGAUUGCAUGCUCUUUGGAUUUGAGAUUGUGUGGAUGUACUGUUGGUAUUCAAAGCCAUUGUAUUUUGCUAAGAGAUUGGUAGCACCAGGGUACAAUCAAGGUCUGAAGGGUUUUUUGCCAAAUGACAUUUCCAAACUUCAUAAUCUGCAAAUCCUUUGAGUUUCUUCUCCUACAAUAAUUGUUGAAAGAGCAGGGUCCUUUGCUUGGGCACAUAAAAGCUGGAGAGUCAGAGAGGAGUUUACAGGCAGCUACAAUUAAUCUAUUUGCAGCUACUACUGAGCUUCCACUUCAACAAGCAUCCUCCCCCCUGUAUUGACUUUUACAAAUAAGCUGUACACAUCUUUUGUACAUUUAAAUAUUGUUGGCAUGUAAUAAUAAGAGUCAUUUAGUAUUUUGUAUAUAUUGGCUAAAGGACUCACUUGCAUUAUCAUGUUACUUGCCAAAAACGGGGUUCAUGCCAUAGCAAUGGCUAAUUUCAAUUCUUGAAUUUUUGAGCCAAAAAUAAAGAAUUGUUAAUAUUGCCA